GACGAACCGUGCGAACGUUGUUCGGAAUCACUGGGCUUAAAGGGCGCGUAGGCGGGCGAUCAAGUCAGAGGUGAAAUCCUGCGGCUCAACCGUAGAAGAGCCCCUGAUACUGGUGGCCUCGAGGGAGAUAGGGGCAUGUGGAACUUCCGGUGGAGCGGUGAAAUGCGUAGAUAUCGGAAGGAACGCCGGUGGCGAAAGCGACGUGCUGGAUCUCUUCUGACGCUGAGGCGCGAAAGCUAGGGGAGCAAACGGG
rnacentral:rRNA from 1 species